GAUGAACGCUGGCGGCGUGCCUAAUACAUGCCAGUCGAGCGAACGGACGAGAAGCUUGCUCCUCUGACGUUAGCGGCGGACGGGUGAGUAACACGUGGAUAACCUACCUAUAAGACUGGGAUAACUUCGGGAAACCGGAGCUAAUACCGGAUAAUAUAUUGAACCGCAUGGUUCAAUAGUGAAAGACGGUUUUGCUGUCACUUAUAGAUGGAUCCGCGCCGCAUUAGCUAGUUGGUAAGGUAACGGCUUACCAAGGCAACGAUGCGUAGCCGACCUGAGAGGAUGAUCGGCCACACUGGAACUGAGACACGGUCCAGACUCCUACGGGAGGCAGCAGUAGGGAAUCUUCCGCAAUGGGCGAAAGCCUGACGGAGCAACGCCGCGUGAGUGAUGAAGGUCUUCGGAUCGUAAAACUCUGUUAUUAGGGAAGAACAGAUGUGUAAGUAACUAUGCACGUCUUGACGGUACCUAAUCAGAAAGCCACGGCUAACUACGUG
rnacentral:rRNA from 1 species